UUGACCCCCGUUUCCUGGCUUACAUGGAAGAUCGGCGCAAGCAGCACAAGUGGCACCGGUGUAAAAAAAGUGCAGUGGAGCUGAGCUGCCUGCCGGGGCUGGAGCGGGGCCCGGGGGCCAGUGGCUCUCACAACAGCAGGAAGGGCUACGUGCCUGACCCCAUGAUGAGCGGG